CUACGGGUGGCUGCAGUGAGGAAUAUUGCACAAUGGGGGGAACCCUGAUGCAGCAACGCCGCGUGGAGGAUGACGCAUUUCGGUGUGUAAACUCCUUUUAUAUGUCAAGAAAAUGACGGUAGCAUAUGAAUAAGCGCCGGCUAACUCCGUGCCAGCAGCCGCGGUAAUACGGAGGGCGCAAGCGUUACUCGGAAUCACUGGGCGUAAAGGACGCGUAGGCGGGUUGAAAAGUCAGGUGUGAAAGCCUACAGCUUAACUGUAGAACUGCACUUGAAACUCUCAAUCUAGAGUAUGGGAGGGGCAGAUGGAAUUAGUGGUGUAGGGGUAAAAUCCGUAGAUAUCACUAGGAAUACCUAAAGCGAAGGCGAUCUGCUGGAACAUUACUGACGCUAAGGCGUGAAAGCGUGGGGAGCAAACAGGAUUAGAUACCCUUGUAGUC
rnacentral:rRNA from 1 species